AUUGAACGCUGGCGGCAGGACUAACACAUACAAGUCGAACGAGUGGCGGACGGGUGAGUAAUGUCUGGGAAACUGCCCGAUGGAGUGGGAUAACUACUGGAAACGGUAGCUAAUACCGCAUACCAUCGGAUGUGCCCAGUUGGGAUUAGAUUGUAGGUGAGGUAACGGCUCACCUAGGCGACGAUCCCUAGCUGGGCUGUGAGGAUGACCAGGCACACUGGAACUGAGACACGGUCCAGACGCCGACGUGAGGCAGCAGUGGGGAAGAUUGCACAAUGGGCGCAAGCCUGAUGCAGCCAUGCCGCGUGUAUGAAGAAGGCCUUCGGGUUGUAAAGUACUUUCAGCGGGGAGGCGUUACCAGCAGAAGAAGCACCGGCUAACUCCGGGCCAGCAGCCGCGGUAAUAC
rnacentral:rRNA from 1 species